rnacentral:rRNA from 1 species
AGUAAAAGUCGUAACAAGGUUUCCGUAGGUGAACCUGCGGAAGGAUCAUUAAUGAAUUCUGAAAGGGGUUGUAGCUGGCCGUUUCGUUUGAGCGGCAUGUGCACGCCCUGAUCAUUAUCCAUCUCACACACCUGUGCACAUACUGUAGGUCGGCUUUUGAUUGGAGUGGGGUCUUCAUCGACUCUGCUUUUUAGUUGGGGCCUUCCUAUGUUUUAUCACACACUACUUCAGUUAAAAGAAUGUCCUCUUGCGUCUAACGCAUUUAAAUACAACUUUCAGCAACGGAUCUCUUGGCUCUCGCAUCGAUGAAGAACGCAGCGAAAUGCGAUAAGUAAUGUGAAUUGCAGAAUUCAGUGAAUCAUCGAAUCUUUGAACGCACCUUGCGCUCCUUGGUAUUCCGAGGAGCAUGCCUGUUUGAGUGUCAUGGAAUUCUCAACUCUAUUUGCUUUUGUGAAUAGAGCUUGGACUUGGAGGUUUAUUGCCGGUACCUGUGAUCGGCUCCUCUUGAAUGCAUUAGCUCGAACCUUUUGUGGAUCAGCUUAUCGGUGUGAUAAAAUGUCUACGCCGUUACUGUGAAGCAUAUUAUUCGGCUUCCAAUCGUCCUUCACGGGACAAUAACUUUGACCUUUGACCUCAAAUCAGGUAGGAUUACCCGCU